rfam:Marivita cryptomonadis strain CL-SK44 contig7, whole genome shotgun sequence.
CUGCGGCUUUGUGGCGAUUUGUUACCGGAUUGCGGGCCACGUUAAACAUGCCGCUAAAAGGUCAGCCGAAAGCCCCU